rnacentral:misc_RNA from 1 species
GGGCAGCUUUAUCAAUUGAAUUGAUAUUCAAGAGUAUUCUCAGUUAUCAAAGAAAAAGAAAACUUAUCUAAUGAGGCUAAAUAUAAUUUUGCAACAAAAAAGAGUAGAUCACUAAUUCACAAUGGUUCUAUGGAUGUAUAAAUAACAAAACUGCAAUAUGAAUGCCCAGAAAUGUGGUUUUCUUUCUUUUGGCAUCUGCUAUGUUGAUCCUAUCAUGCAUCAUUGCCACUCUUUUUAUUUCCCUAUCGUGUUCUUGUUUACACAGGGAUAACACUUGACUCCCGGAUAAUCUCAUAUAUACAUACCGCGUUCUCAACAACCAACAAAACGAUGAUGCACCAUUCUAGUAGAUCCGAUUUUCUGUUUUGAAGAACUUCCUGAAGAAAGUGAAUGUUAUGCUCGACAAACUUUAGUUUGAAGUUGAGGUUCCCAAAACGUUGUGAAACCUCAUAUUCCUCCCGAAGGUACUCCAGUAUCUGAGCAUACUUUGCAUCUCUCCAAGCAAUUUCA